rnacentral:rRNA from 1 species
CUGGGGGAGGGGAACCCUGGGAACUGGGGCUAAUACCUGAUAGGUGCGGAGGCCUGGAAUGGUUCUGCACUGAAAGGGCUUCGAGAACAUGCUCUUGGAGUUGCCCAAGGAUGAGACUGCGGCCGAUCAGGUUGUUGGUGGGGUAACGGCCCACCAAGCCUAUAACCGGUACGGGCUCUGAGAGGAGGGGCCCGGAGAUGGGAACUGAGACAAGGUCCCAGGUCCUACGGGGCGCAGCAGGUGCGAAAACUCCACAAUGCGCGAAUGCGUGAUGGGGUUAACCCGAGUGCCGUCCGAUGAGGAUGGCUUUUCCUCAGUUUAAGGAGCUGGGGGAAUAAAGGGGGGGCAAGUCUGGUGUCAGCCGCCGCGGUAAUACCAGCCCCCUGAGUGGUAGGGACGAUUAUUUGGCCUAAAGCGUCCGUAGCCGGCUUGGCAAGUCUUUCGUUAAAUCCGACGAUUUAAUCGCCGGGCCGCGGAAGAUACUACUAGGCUUGAGGACGGGAGAGGUUGACGGUAGUCCCAGGGUAGGGGUGAAAUCCUAUAAUCCUGGGAGGACCACCAGUGGCGAAGGCGGUCGACUAGAACGUGCCUGACGGUGAUGGACGAAAGCUGGGGGAGCGAACCGGAUUAGACACCCGGGUAGUCCCAGCUGUAAACGAUGCGGGCUAGGUGUUGGGGUAGCUACGAGCUACUCCAGUGCCGCAGAGAAGUCGUUAAGCCCGCCGCCUGGGAAGUACGGCCGCAAGGCUGAAACUUAAAGGAAUUGGCGGGGGAGCAC